rnacentral:misc_RNA from 1 species
GUCCUUUCGUGGAUGGUGGUGGGGUACCGCCCGUAUAUUGAGAACUACACAGUGGACGCGAGCAUCUUAGAUUCACCGGUUUUCCGGUGGAUCACAAAGAUCUAUUUAUAGAUCAUUGGUCAAUUCUGUCUCCUCUAGGGGAGGCGAAACGAUUCAAUCUCAUGUGAUUUCAAGAUUCUAAGAGCAAACGGUGGAUGCCUUGGCAUCUGGAGCCGAAGAAGGACCUAUAAAUCUGCGAUAAGCCUCGGGGAGCUGAUAAUAGAGCUGUGAUCCGAGGAUCUCCGAAUGGGGAAACCCCGCCAGGCCCUUUGGGUGACCUGGUGACUCCCGCCUGAAUAUAUAGGGCGGGUAGAGGGAACGUGGGGAAGUGAAAA